GACGAACCGUGCGAACGUUAUUCGGAAUCACUGGGCUUAAAGCGCGUGUAGGCGGGACGGCACGUCGGUCGCUGAAAUCCCCCGGCUUACCCGGGGAACGGGCGUCGAUACGACCGUCCUGGAGGGGCGUAGGGGGACCUGGAACUUCCGGUGGAGCGGUGAAAUGCGUUGAGAUCGGAAGGAACGCCCGUGGCGAAAGCGAGGUCCUGGACGCCUACUGACGCUGAGACGCGAAAGCCAGGGGAGCGAACGGG
rnacentral:rRNA from 1 species